rnacentral:rRNA from 1 species
AUUGAACGCUGGCGGCAGGCCUAACACAUGCAAGUCGAACGGUAACAGGAAACAGCUUGCUGUUUCGCUGACGAGUGGCGGACGGGUGAGUAAUGUCUGGGAAACUGCCUGAUGGAGGGGGAUAACUACUGGAAACGGUAGCUAAUACCGCAUAACGUCGCAAGACCAAAGAGGGGGACCUUCGGGCCUCUUGCCAUCGGAUGUGCCCAGAUGGGAUUAGCUAGUAGGUGGGGUAACGGCUCACCUAGGCGACGAUCCCUAGCUGGUCUGAGAGGAUGACCAGCCACACUGGAACUGAGACACGGUCCAGACUCCUACAGGAGGCAGCAGUGGGGAAUAUUGCACAAUGGGCGCAAGCCUGAUGCAGCCAUGCCGCGUGUAUGAAGAAGGCCUUCGGGUUGUAAAGUACUUUCAGCGGGGAGGAAGGGAGUAAAGUUAAUACCUUUGCUCAUUGACGUUACCCGCAGAAGAAGCACCGGCUAACUCC